GACGAACGCUGGCGGCGUGCUUAACACAUGCAAGUCGAACGGAAAGGCCCUGCUUGCAGGGUACUCGAGUGGCGAACGGGUGAGUAGCACGUGGGUGAUCUGCCCUGCACUUCGGGAUAAGCCUGGGAAACUGGGUCUAAUACCGGAUAGGAGCCAUUUUUAGUGUGAUGGUUGGAAAGUUUUUUUCGGUGUAGGAUGAGCUCGCGGCCUAUCAGCUUGUUGGUGGGGUAAUGGCCUACCAAGGCGGCGACGGGUAGCCGGCCUGAGAGGGUGGACGGCCACAUUGGGACUGAGAUACGGCCCAGACUCCUACGGGAGGCAGCGGUGGGGAAUAUUGCACAAUGGGCGCAAGCCUGAUGCAGCGACGCCGCGUGGGGGAUGACGGCCUUCGGGUUGUAAACUCCUUUCGCUAGGGACGAAGCUUUUUGUGACGGUACCUAGAUAAGAAGCACCGGCUAACUACGUG
rnacentral:rRNA from 1 species